rnacentral:rRNA from 2 species
GGGUUGUGAGGUUAAGCGACUAAGCGUACACGGUGGAUGCCCUGGCAGUCAGAGGCGAUGAAGGGCGUGCUAAUCUGCGAUAAGCGCCGGUAAGGUGAUAUGAACCGUUAUAACCGGCGAUACCCGAAUGGGGAAACCCAGUGUGACUCG